UGGGGAAUUUUGCGCAAUGGGCGAAAGCCUGACGCAGCGACGCCGCGUGAGUGAUGAAGGCCUUCGGGUUGUAAAGCUCUGUGGAGAGGGAAGAAUAAGGCUAGGCUAAUAUCCUAGUUGAUGACGGUACCUCUUUAGCAAGCACCGGCUAACUCUGUGCCAGCAGCCGCGGUAAGACAGAGGGUGCAAACGUUGUUCGGAUUUACUGGGCGUAAAGCGCGUGUAGGCGGCUAAGCAAGUCGGACGUGAAAGCCCUCGGCUCAACCGGGGAAGUGCAUUCGAAACUACUUAGCUAGAGUCUCGGAGAGGAAGGUGGAAUGCUUGGUGUAGAGGUGAAAUUCGUAGAUAUCAAGCGGAACACCGGUGGCGAAGGCGGCCUUCUGGACGAUGACUGACGCUG
rnacentral:rRNA from 1 species